rnacentral:lncRNA from 1 species
GUUUGACCGGCUGAGUCGACCCAAUUUUUAAAACAUUGAAUUCCGCAACUAUAAUUUUAUUAAAGUAAGUAAAUAGCUUAAAUUUUGAAGUCAAAAUAUUAUCAACUGAUUCAGAUUGAACAAAAUUUAAAAAUUAAAUAGCAAAAUCAAUAUUUUGGAAGGUUAAAUAGCUGAUUCAAAAUAGUCUAUAAUUCAGAUAAAUUAUCUAUGCUUUUACCUUGAUUAAUUACACAACUGAUCCUAACUCUAUCAUUUCAAUUAGCGAAUCAGCCCGAUUUAUAAGAACUAGAAGAAUUGCUCUUUAUUUUGUAUUUCAAUAAUUAAUUAAAUAUAUGUAUUAGUAUUUUAAUAAUUUGCAUUCUAAAUAUAUUUUAAAUAUAUUAUAAUAUUUAAAAAUAAUGUAGAAUGUUAUAGGUUAGAAUAUAUUCUUAUUAUGUAUAGUAU